rnacentral:rRNA from 1 species
CACAUGAUAUACUUCUAAAUUGGGUUUGGGUGAUAAUUAUCUUUUUUGUUGGAGAUGAAAAUUUAUUAUAUAAGGUGAAAUUUUAUAAUUGGUUUAACUUGUUUUGUGAAUGAGACAUUAUUAAAUUUUUUAGGUAAACUAGGAUUAGAUACCCUAUUAUUGAAAAUGUAAAAUUAGAUUCCUGAGGAGUAUUAGGUGUUCUUGAAAUUUAAAAAAUUUGGCGGUGUUUUAGUCUAUUCAGAGGAACCUGUCCUGUAAUUGAUAAUCCACGAUUAAUUUGACUUGUUCUUUAAGUUUGUAUAUCGUCGUUAUUUGAAUAUCUUUUAAAGGGUAAAUAUUCAAUCUUUAAAAUUUUAAUUUAAAUCAGAUCAAGGUGCAGCUUACGUUCAAGUAGAGAUGGGUUACAAUAAAUUUAUUUUUAUGGUUUGAGAGGUGAAAUUCUUACAAUAAAUAGGAUUUGAUAGUAAAAUGGAUAAUUUAAUUAAUUUGAUUUAAGCUCUAAAAUAUGCACAUAUCGCCCGUCGCUCCCGCCCUAAGGCGGG